rnacentral:rRNA from 1 species
AUUGAACGCUGGCGGCAGGCCUAACACAUGCAAGUCGAACGGUAACAGGAAGCAGCUUGCUGCUUCGCUGACGAGUGGCGGACGGGUGAGUAAUGUCUGGGAAACUGCCUGAUGGAGGGGGAUAACUACUGGAAACGGUAGCUAAUACCGCAUAACGUCGCAAGACCAAAGAGGGGGACCUUAGGGCCUCUUGCCAUCGGAUGUGCCCAGAUGGGAUUAGCUAGUAGGUGGGGUAACGGCUCACCUAGGCGACGAUCCCCAGCUGGUCUGAGAGGAUGACCAGCCACACUGGAACUGAGACACGGUCCAGACUCCUACGGGAGGCAGCAGUGGGGAAUAUUGCACAAUGGGCGCAAGCCUGAUGCAGCCAUGCCGCGUGUAUGAAGAAGGCCUUCGGGUUGUAAAGUACUUUCAGCGGGGAGGAAGGGAGUAAAGUUAAUACCUUGGCUCAUUGACGUUACCCGCAGAAGAAGCACCGGCUAACUCCGUG